UGGGGAAUAUUGGACAAUGGGCGCAAGCCUGAUCCAGCCAUGCCGCGUGAGUGAUGAAGGCCCUAGGGUUGUAAAGCUCUUUCACCGGUGAAGAUAAUGACGGUAACCGGAGAAGAAGCCCCGGCUAACUUCGUGCCAGCAGCCGCGGUAAUACGAAGGGGGCUAGCGUUGUUCGGAUUUACUGGGCGUAAAGCGCACGUAGGCGGACUAUUAAGUCAGGGGUGAAAUCCCGGGGCUCAACCCCGGAACUGCCUUUGAUACUGGCAGUCUUGAGUUCGAGAGAGGUGAGUGGAAUUCCGAGUGUAGAGGUGAAAUUCGUAGAUAUUCGGAGGAACACCAGUGGCGAAGGCGGCUCACUGGCUCGAUACUGACGCUGAGGUGCGAAAGCGUGGGGAGCAAACAGG
rnacentral:rRNA from 1 species